rnacentral:rRNA from 1 species
AUGGUUAAGUGGGAAACGAUGUGGGAAGGCCCAGACAGCCAGGAUGUUGGCUUAGAAGCAGCCAUCAUUUAAAGAAAGCGUAAUAGCUCACUGGUCGAGUCGGCCUGCGCGGAAGAUGUAACGGGGCUAAACCAUGCACCGAAGCUGCGGCAGCGACACUAUGUGUUGUUGGGUAGGGGAGCGUUCUGUAAGCCUGCGAAGGUGUACUGUGAGGUAUGCUGGAGGUAUCAGAAGUGCGAAUGCUGACAUAAGUAACGAUAAAGCGGGUGAAAAGCCCGCUCGCCGGAAGACCAAGGGUUCCUGUCCAACGUUAAUCGGGGCAGGGUGAGUCGACCCCUAAGGCGAGGCCGAAAGGCGUAGUCGAUGGGAAACAGGUUAAUAUUCCUGUACUUGGUGUUACUGCGAAGGGGGGGACGGAGAA